UUAAUACCCCUUCCAUCCGGAAAUACUUGUCCCAAAAAUGGAUGUAUCUAGACUUACUUUAGUUAUAGAUACAUCCAAUUUAUCCAUUUUGAGAACAAAUAUUUCCCGACGAAGGGAAUACCUA
rfam:Triticum aestivum genome assembly, contig: Triticum_aestivum_CS42_TGACv1_scaffold_542987_6DS